AUCAGGGUGGUCAUUUUAAAAAAUCUAUCCAAUUUAUGGUUUAUUCAGUAUUUCCGUGUUUAGCAAUCUUUAACCAACACCAUUUCCCACAAGUGCUUGACCACUGCGGGUGAAACAUAAUGGCUCAACAAAAGAAGUAUGUCGAAGACUGUAGAACAGUAGAGAAGACAGCAAAAAAAGUUGGGGAAAAGAAGAAAGUAUUGUCCCCGUUAUGCUAGAUUAGCGGCUGACGUCUCACAGCAAGCGGCCAGCUUGCGUUGAUACAGAGGAAGUUGUUCGUGGGUGGCCGUUCUGACUCAACCUCAACAGAUUGGUGUGCCGUACAAAAAAUAGCAGCGUGGGCCUGGCACAGUGUCGGAGAGCCAUGCAUGACAGCACCCGAAGAAGUGUGACAAAACAAAAGCUGCAGGAGACAUCACUCAACCUUGCUCAUUUUGUUGACAAGAUUUUAAACCUUUUGCCUAGAUUUCCCUUAAUAAUAAAUAAUUAUAUAUU